CUUAAGACCAAUGCUCCAAUAUGUAUGUGACAACAGCCCAGAAGUCAGGCAAGCAGCUGCAUAUGGCCUGGGAGUCAUGGCACAGUAUGGUGGAGAUAAUUAUCGCCCUUUUUGUACAGAAGCACUUCCCCUGCUGGUAAGAGUUAUUCAGUCUGCGGAUUCUAAGACCAAAGAAAAUGUCAAUGCUACAGAGAACUGCAUCUCAGCAGUAGGGAAAAUGAUGAAGUUCAAGCCUGACUGUGUAAAUGUUGAAGAGGUCCUUCCACACUGGUUGUCUUGGCUUCCACUACAUGAAGAUAAAGAAGAAGCUGUUCAGACUUUCAAUUAUCUGUGUGACCUGAUUGAAAGGUAGGAAAGCAGACUGUGACCUUAUUUCCUUCUCCACAGUGCUUCCUGGUUUUUCUUGCCUAACAUCAGUCUUUUAAGGUUUAACCACAUGAUCUCUGCACAGUCCUCAGUUGUAUAGGUUUAUAAUAG
rnacentral:sRNA from 1 species